GAGCUGUCUGUCUUUUCCAUCUAGGCAGCACACUGAGCUGAGAGGAUUAGGGGUAUGUUCUACAGGCAGGACACAUGCCAGACUUUGGGGGCCAAUGAGCAUAAUGAGUUCCAGCCAUCCUUACAAACAUUCAACACUUGUCACUCUGGGGGCACAGAGCAGCAGGUGUGCUGUCUAGAGGUCUCCUAGCAACAGAGC
rfam:Choloepus hoffmanni cont1.129164, whole genome shotgun sequence.